GAUGAACGCUGGCGGCGUGCCUAAUACAUGCAAGUCGAGCGAAUGGAUUAAGAGCUUGCUCUUAUGAAGUUAGCGGCGGACGGGUGAGUAACACGUGGGUAACCUGCCCAUAAGACUGGGAUAACUCCGGGAACCCGGGGCUAAUACAGGAUAACAUUUUGAACCGCAUGGUUCGAAAUUGAAAGGCGGCUUCGGCUGUCACUUAUGGAUGGACCCGCGUCGCAUAAGCUAGUUGGUGAGGUAACGGCUCACCAAGGCAACGAUGCGUAGCCGACCUGUGAGGGUGAUCGGCCACACUGGGACUGAGACACGGCCCAGACUCCUACGGGAGGCAGCAGUAGGGAAUCUUCCGCAAGGGACGAAAGUCUGACGGAGCAACGCCGCGUGAGUGAUGAAGGCUUUCGGGUCGUAAAACUCUGUUGUUAGGGAAGAACAAGUGCUAGUUGAAUAAGCUGGCACCUUGACGGUACCUAACCAGAAAGCCACGGCUAACUACGUGCCAGCCGCCGCCGUAA
rnacentral:rRNA from 1 species